rnacentral:lncRNA from 1 species
UCAGCACAGAGCCCACUCGGGGCUCUAUCUCGAGCUGUGAAAUGGUGACCGGAGCAGAAACCAAGUCAGACGCUUAACCAGCUGAGCCACCCAGGAGUCCCCGAUUCCUUUUUUUAACACACAAAUAGUAACAUCAAUAUUCACCAAACUCUAAGUAAAAUGUGCAGUGCUCUUGCAACCCUGUCUGUGCCUCCCUUCCCAAUUAAAUGGUUGUUUAUUUAUUCCCAGCCCUUUCUCGUCCUUGUCCCAAUGCAGGUGUAAUUUUCACUUAACUGUCUCUUGGUGCAGUUCAGCGUCCACAUCCUUUUCUUCCUUUACAGUAUUCAGUAUUUUUCUACUAGGACACAGUUGACAGCCCAUAAAAGUCUCUGCUUAAGUAAGAAGUCCGUUUCUGUGAACCAUCAUCCGGACACAUGCAACACCAGACAGUGUGUCUCACAUCCAAGUUUAUUGACAGGGUAGAUUUCCCAUAAGGAUAGAAACACGAGCAAAGGAACCAGGAGGCACCUUCUCCCUCGGAUUGCUGCACAGCAUCUCCCUUUUAAUGACAAAAGCAAACAGAGGUGGGAAGCGGCUAUCUUCUCCAAAGUCUAACUGCUCAGCCUUCAAAUUAGUGUCAACAAGAAAGGAAUAGAUUAGCCGAAGGUCGCAGCACACACGCCUUCCCUUUUUCUUAGUAAGACUGUUUUGCUCCGUCCCACCCUGGCUAAUCCCUCUCUUCCCACUACUGGAAACUCAGAUAUUAACCAAAGCUGUGAGUCUCUUUGCCUAGUGCUUUUCUGCUAAAGCUUGGCUGAGAGAUGAAUCCAUGGAAUGUAAGUGACCUACUGGCUCAGUUAAUGACGCCUGGCCUCCCUUCCGGGGCAAUAACUUCCCUCCAGUCACUUAGCUCUGCUUGUCUCAGCUGGAGUCCACCAACAGGCUGGAUACCCACUCCCUCCCCAGGAGCGGAGAACCGUCAACAUCUCAGGCAAGGGAGGGAAAGAGGUCAGUGAAUCACAGGUGCUGAUGGGCGUCUCUGUGGCUCCAACUCUACUCAGCAGAAGGUGAGGACAGUUUUGCCGUCUUCGGUCCUGUGAGUGUCAGAGAUUGAGCAGAAGUUUCAGAGGCUUUACUCUCUGUUCCCCCCAAGAUUCCUCUGCUGACGUUCUGCAACCAGGCAGCCCACUCUGCCACACCACUUCUCUAAGUCUGAUUCUCUGAAUCUGGAAGUUCCAGGAAACCAGAGGCCGGGUCUAACGAUGGUACUCUGUGCACCCAGCCAAACCGUUUCUCCAGAGACCUUGGUUCUUGGUAACAAUGUCUCUUCUUGGCUCGAUUAUUUAGCGAGAAGCUGGGGCUGGAUAAGAUGGGUUCCACGGCUCACUGGGGUUGGCCAUUAAAG